GGCAGAGUGCUAGAGUGGUUAAUAGGUGGCACUCGAAUACACAGUAGUGUGCGGUAAUGCCAUGUCUUCGGACGCGCAGGUUCAAAUCCUGUCUCUGUCG